rnacentral:rRNA from 2 species
AGGCGACGAUGCGUAGCCGACCUGAGAGGGUGAUCGGCCACACUGGGACUGAGACACGGCCCAGACUCCUACGGGAGGCAGCAGUAGGGAAUCUUCCGCAAUGGACGAAAGUCUGACGGAGCAACGCCGCGUGAGUGAUGAAGGUUUUCGGAUCGUAAAGCUCUGUUGUUAGGGAAGAACAAGUGCAAGAGUAACUGCUUGCACCUUGACGGUACCUAACCAGAAAGCCACGGCUAACUACGUGCCAGCAGCCGCGGUAAUACGUAGGUGGCAAGCGUUGUCCGGAAUUAUUGGGCGUAAAGGGCUCGCAGGCGGUUUCUUAAGUCUGAUGUGAAAGCCCCCGGCUCAACCGGGGAGGGUCAUUGGAAACUGGGAAACUUGAGUGCAGAAGAGGAGAGUGGAAUUCCACGUGUAGCGGUGAAAUGCGUAGAGAUGUGGAGGAACACCAGUGGCGAAGGCGACUCUCUGGUCUGUAACUGACGCUGAGGAGCGAAAGCGUGGGGAGCGAACAGGAUUAGAUACCCUGGUAGUCCACGCCGUAAACGAUGAGUGCUAAGUGUUAGGGGGUUUCCGCCCCUUAGUGCUGCAGCUAACGCAUUAAGCACUCCGCCUGGGGAGUA